rnacentral:rRNA from 1 species
CAAUAGCGUAUAUUAAAGUUGUUGCAGUUAAAAAGCUCGUAGUUGGAUUUCUGGCAGGCGCGACCGGUCACACACUCUGUGUGUGAACUUGCGUUGUCUCUGGCCAUCCUUGGGAAGAUCCUGUUUGGCAUUAAGUUGUCGGGCAGGGGAUACCCAUCGUUUACUGUGAAAAAAUUAGAGUGUUUAAAGCAGGCUUAUGCCGUUGAAUAUAUUAGCAUGGAAUAAUAAGAUAGGACUUCGGAACUAUUUUGUUGGUUUGCGUUACGAAGUAAUGAUUAAUAGGGACAGUUGGGGGUAUUCGUAUUUCGUUGUCAGAGGUGAAAUUCUUGGAUUUCCGAAAGACGAACUACUGCGAAAGCAUUUACCAAGGAUGUUUUCAUUAA